GAUGAACGCUGGCGGCGUGCCUAAUACCUGCAAGUCGAGCGAAGCGGGGACGGGUGAGUAACACGUGGAUAACCUCCUCUAAGACUGGGAUAACUUCGGGAAACAGGAGCUAAACCGGAUAAUUAUAUAUGGAUCCGCGCUGCAUUAUCUAGUUGGUAAGGUAACGGCUUACAAAGGCAAAGAUGCAUAGCCGACCGUAGAGGGGGAUCGGCCACACUGGAACUGAGACACGGGCCAGACUCCUACGGGAGGCAGCAGUAGGGAAUCUUCCGCAAUGGGCGAAAGCCUGACGGAGCAACGCCGCGUGAGUGAUGAAGGUCUUCGGAUCGUAAAACUCUGUUAUUAGGGAAGCGGUACCUAAUCAGAAAGCCACGGCUAACUACGUGCCAGCAGCCGCGGUAAUU
rnacentral:rRNA from 1 species